rnacentral:lncRNA from 1 species
UGCAGAACUGUUUCAAUGGCAACUAUCACAGAGUUGAAAAGCGGUCAGCCUGAAGUUCCCCUAGAUCGGGAGUUCGUGGCCAAUGAGCUCAAUGUCGCAGAAGAUUCAAGUGCCAAAGCAGUUAAGGGAGAGCUCAAAGGAAAACUCUUCCUAAGGGGCUCAGCAGCAGUGUCUUCACACGAAUCACAUGGCCAUCGUAAUGCAGAGUCAUAACACUGAGCUCUGCAGCCAUCUCAAGAGGAAGUCAUAUGAUCACAAUUAAAACAAUUUCCCGUAAAGAGGCCAAAACAUUCUGUCCAGC